rnacentral:lncRNA from 1 species
UUGAAUUUAUAGAAAAAUUCAGUUUUAAACAAGAUAUAGCAAUGACGAUUUGUAAAAGAAGUUUUUCAAACCCUAUGCUCAAUAGUAAUUGAGGCAUUUGAUACUUCCAUUUUAUUAUUAAAUGUCUAGCUUGUUUGCUUUUAUUUUCGAGAUACGAAGCAUUCUCGAGAAAAUAAUAUAUAGUAGUGCCGAACUCCUCAUGGGCAUGACAACCAUCCAAGGAAAUUCAGACACUGUAAAAUAAUGUACAAGCUGCUUACAGCU